GAUGAACGCUGGCGGCGUGCUUAGCACAUGCAAGUCGAACGGGAUCCAAGGGGUGCUUGCACUUUUUGGUGAGAGUGGCGAACGGGUGAGUAACACGUGAGUAACCUGUCCUUUUCUUUGGGAUAAGCAUUCGAAAGGGUGUUUAAUACCUUAUGUUCUGUCUGCCUCGCAUGGGGUGGGUGGGAAAGGCUUUGGCCGGAUUUGGGUGGGCUCGCGGUCUAUCAGCUUGUUGGUGGGGUGAUGGCUUACCAAGGCUUUGACGGGUAGCCGGCCUGAGAGGGUGGUCGGUCACAUUGGGACUGAGAUACGGCCCAGACUCCUGCGGGAGGCAGCAGUGGGGGAUAUUGCACAAUGGGCGAAAGCCUGAUGCAGCGACGCCGCGUGGGGGAUGAAGGCCUUCGGGUUGUAAACUUCUUUUGCUCUGAACAAGGCAUGCCAGUGGGUGUGUUGAGUGUAGGGGUUGAUUAGCGCCGGCUAACUACGUG
rnacentral:rRNA from 1 species